GACGAACACUGGCGGCGUGCUUAACACAUGCAAGUCGAACGGUAAGGCCCUUCGGGGUACACGAGUGGCGAACGGGUGAGUAACACGUGGGUGAUCUGCCCUGCACUUCGGGAUAAGCCUGGGAAACUGGGUCUAAUACCGGAUAGGACCACUGCCUGCAUGGGUGGUGGUGGAAAGCUUUUGCGGUGUGGGAUGGGCCCGCGGCCUAUCAGCUUGUUGGUGGGGUGAUGGCCUACCAAGGCGACGACGGGUAGCCGGCCGGAAAGGGUGACCGGCCACACUGGGACUGAGAUACGGCCCAGACUCCUACGGGAGGCAGCAGUGGGGAAUAUUGCACAAUGGGCGCAAGCCUGAUGCAGCGACGCCGCGUGAGGGAUGACGGCCUUCGGGUUGUAAACCUCUUUCAGCACCGACGAAGCGCAAGUGACGGUAGGUGCAGAAGAAGGACCGGCCAACUACGUGCCAGCCGCCGCGGUAA
rnacentral:rRNA from 1 species